rnacentral:lncRNA from 1 species
GAAGGAAAAGUAAAAAUUUUGAAAUGAAAAUUUUUCAAACUGUAAAGGAGACGGUGAAUAAAAGAAAAAGUAAAAAAAUUUUCAAGAUCUUUGAGUAAAAUCUUAAAUUUUUAAAAAAUUUCCAAGACACCAUGUAAAACCCUAGAUUUUUUACUAAAUUCCAAGACUUCCAAGUAAAACCUUAGAUUUAUAAUGACUUCCAAGACCUCUGGGCAAAUAUUAAAAUGAUUCAUAAGUCUUCUAACUCAAGCAAAAAAUCCACAAUCAUCAAAUGAAGCACUACCAAGCGAGAUCGAGACCAGCACCUUGUAUAGGGUUCCAAACCCGCGCUUCUAACAAUAUCCCAUAAAGAAAGGUAGGGGCUUCAAAGCUUGACUAACAAGCGCGAAACUUGACUUUGAGAAAGAAGGGUGGCGCGCUAGCUGCAAUCCUUCUAAAGUGCUAACGCCUAUAGGUUGGGGCCCUUUUCUUGCUCGUUAGCGCUUUAGUUUGAGGCGCUAGCUUACUAAUAAUAUAGGGGCUUGAUCGGAAUCGAUUCUCUAAUUGAAUAUCAGAAGUGCUACUUAGUAAUAAAAACUUGAAGAGACAGACAGAGAGGGGACUCUAUCAUACCUGCUAAUUCCUAGGAUGAGAAGUAGGCCUGGCCUCUUGUUUUUGGCAGGAAUAGUUCCAGCCUUUGUUGCCCCUCGGUAGAGUGAGUCUACUUAGCGAACUCAUAGGAUGCAAAGAUCAAUUUAUCUAUAUGAAUCUUGAAAGUGGAUGGUUGAUCACCGCUAAGUCCUUUUGAUAGAAUAUUUUAAAUUUUUAAAGUUUCAAGGCCUCUAAUGAGAGGAGCAUUCAUAGGUGUCGAGAUGGAUUAGAGAUUUGUAAGACCUCCAGGUGUAGUCUCUAAGUCCUCUGGGCAAGAUUCGUAAGUUUUUUUAGCUAAAUAUAUUUUCAGUGUUAAGAUUUGUAAGAUCUUCAAGUGUAAACUUUAAGUCUUUUAGGCAAAAUUCAUAAGUCUUUUGAGUAGAAUCUAUUUUUAAUGUUGAGAUUUGUAAGACCUCUGGGCAUAAUCUUUAAAUCUUUUGGGUAUGAUUCUAUUUUUAGUGUUGAGAUUUAUAAGACCUCUGGGUGUAAUCUUUAAAUCUUUUAGGUAUGAUUCGUAAGUCUUUUGAGCUAAAUGUAUUUAGGUGUUGAGACUUAUAAUAAUCUUUAAAUCCUCUGGGCAAAAUUUGUAAGUUUUUCGAGCUAAAUUUAUUUUUAAUGUCAUGAUUUGUAACUCCUUCAGGCAUAAUAUUUUAAAUUUCAAAGUUAAGAUUUUAAAAUUUUCAAAAGCUUUGACGACCCAAAAAAAAAACAAAAAAAGCAAAAAAAAAACCUAAAAAUUCUAAAAAAGGAAUGAAUACCCCAAUUCAAGAGAUAAGAAAAGAAUAGUCUACCAAAGGAAAAUAUAGAGGGAAAGAGUUUAAAGAGACAAAAAAGAAAUUAAAGAGAAAAAAAAAAAGAAAAAAGACAAAGAAAUAUAGCAUGGGAAAAAAAAGAGAAAAUAGCAUGAUCUGCAAAAAGGGAGAGCUUGCUAAAGAAAUGAAUGAAAAAAAUGAGAUAUGAUAAAAAGUUGAGUUUUUUAUAGAAAAAGUAAAUAUAAAAAAAUAUUGAAAACAUGGUGAGAUUUUGAGCCCAAUUUAGCUGGUACCAAAAUGAGAUCAUUAAACCCAAUAAACUUGGCACCAAUUAAGAAAAAGGUUUCACUCAAUGGUGAUAUCCAAG